UUUCCGUAGGUGAACCUGCGGAAGGACCAUUAUUGGAUUUUGAAACUUCAGGCUGCUGCUGGCUCUCCUCGGAGGGCAUGUGCACGCUAGUUGUCCAUUAUUUCUCCCACUGUGCACAAAUUGUAGACCUUUCAGUAGGCCUAUGUUGUUUUUCACAAUCUCUGAAUGUAAUAGAAUGGUUUUGAAUCUUGGGAAAUACAAUACAACUUUCAGCAACGGAUCUCUUGGCUCUC
rnacentral:misc_RNA from 1 species